GUACACUCCUGCGGGAGGCAGCAGUGGGGAAUAUUGGACAAUGGGCGCAAGCCUGAUCCAGCCAUGCCGCGUGAGUGAUGAAGGCCCUAGGGUUGUAAAGCUCUUUCACCGGUGAAGAUAAUGACGGUAACCGGAGAAGAAGCCCCGGCUAACUUCGUGCCAGCAGCCGCGGUAAUACGAAGGGGGCUAGCGUUGUUCGGAUUUACUGGGCGUAAAGCGCACGUAGGCGGACUAUUAAGUCAGGGGUGAAAUCCCGGGGCUCAACCCCGGAACUGCCUUUGAUACUGGUAGUCUUUAGUUCGAGAGAGGUGAGUGGAAUUCCGAGUGUAGAGGUGAAAUUCGUAGAUAUUCGGAGGAACACCAGUGGCGAAGGCGGCUCACUGGCUCGAUACUGACGCUGAGGUGCGAAAGCGUGGGGAGCAAACAGGAUUAGAUACCCCAGUAGUCCCA
rnacentral:rRNA from 1 species